rnacentral:rRNA from 1 species
CGGAGGGUGCAAGCGUUAUCCGGAUUCACUGGGUUUAAAGGGGGCGUAGGUGGGUUGGUAAGUCAGUGGUGGAAUCUCCGAGCUUAACUUGGAAACUGCCAUUGAUACUAUCAGUCUUGAAUAUUGUGGAGGUCAGCGGAAUAUGUCAUGUAGCGGUGAAAUGCUUAGAUAUGACAUAGAACACCAAUUGCGAAGGCAGCUGGCUACGCAUAUAUUGACACUGAGGCUCGAAAGCGUGGGGAUCAAACAGGAUUAGAUACCCUGGUAGUCCACGCCCUAAACUAUGGAUACUCGACAUACGCGAUACACUGUGUGUGUCUGAGCGAAAGCAUUAAGUAUCCCACCUGGGAAGUACGAUCGCAAGAUUG